GGCUGUGACGGCCGGCGGGGAAGGGCUGCUCGCACCUUCCCCUGCCGGGCAGCGCCGCGGGACGGGCGCUCGGGGCAAGCCACCUUUACCGAGGAGGUGGCGCGGUGGAGCCGGGCCCGCCAUGCUCCGACGCGGAGCGCUGGCAGGGUCUCCUGUUACCCCGGGGAAGGAAGGGGCUGGUGCCCCAGAGCCUCGCACCGGCCGCCGGCUCAGCGGUGGCAGCUGGUAGAGGCAGCGGCUGUGCCGUUUAUCGCGAAGAUAAGCGCCGGUGCAGCGAGGCGGUACCACAGGGCUCGGCGGCUGGCGGCGGCCGCGCUUGCAUCAGUUGGAAGAAUUAUUUAAAAACUUGAGGAUGGAUUUGGAAAGGGGAGUGGCUGCAGUCCUUAUCUAAUCUGAAGAGGAAGAAAGAAGACUGAAGCUGCCACCAUGUCAUAUGAAGGAUUGGAACUUUUGGACUGUUUGUUUUAGUAUGGUAAAUGAAAAGCUGUGUGCUUCCCAUCCUUUCUUAGAUAAACUGACUUUCACGUGCAUGACAUGUGUUGUCUAAUUCUGAAAAUGGUCAGGCAGUUCUCAGAAAAAUGAUAGCUCAGGAUGUAUUAAGUUUUGUACCAAAUAUUUCUGUGCUGUGGCACACCCCCUGAGACAUGCUGACAAGAAAGAAAAAGGAAAAAAAUGCAAAGGAGCAGUGUUUCUUCUUGGAUGAUAAUGGCCUAUAGAAAUCUCAAAGGAAGUGCACUACGGCCUUGGAUCUUUGCUCUGGUCCCCUCACCCUCAGCAAGAACUCUUUGAGUCAGUCUUCCUGCAAAUAGAGUUGAAUUUGUUCAUGCACUGAGGAAAAUGUGAUCAUGGAAAUGGAAAACAAUGUAUAGAGGCACCAGACUUAUUAAUUUGAAAAUAAGAUUUUUUCAUCCUUAGAAGUUGGAAAGAACAAAAUAACAUCAGAAGGUUUUUGGUUUGGGUUUUUUUUUUUUUUAAUUAACGACUGGCAGAAAAGUGGACUAAGAACUUUUUAUGUUUGUACAAAUCUGUAUUAUAACAUAAGAAGAAGAUUCCCUCCUGCUUAGGGAAUGUACCUAAGACCUAUGGAUUGUUAAAGAACCAUGGAUUUUUCACCCAGAAGGUGAGCUCAGACCUACUUUCUCAUGUAAUGCGUCAAACUGAUCCGGUGUUGUUGCAUUGGAAUACUUUAACUGUGGGAAGAUCCUUUGUCUUCAUUCUAUGGAAGAUGAUGAGGGUAAAGAAAAAUCAUGGGCCCAUACCUUCACUUCUAUCCUAUCAUUGGUCAAAGAGAGAAAAGACCAGCACCUGCUCCUCCUCCUCCCCUUGUGAAGAAGCUGUAAACUGUGAUGACGUCUGCCUUCAGUCUCCUCCAGGCUGAACAAAACAAGUGACUUCAACUGCUCCUCGUAUGGUUUCUCCUCUAAACCCUUCACCAACUUUGUGGACCUCCUCUGGACUGGGGUGGUGAAACAGUGGAAGAGGUUGCCCAGAGAGGUAGUAGAUGCCCCAUCUCUGGAAACGUUCAAGGUCAGGCAGAACAGGGCUUUGAGCAACCUGAUCUAGUUGAAGGUGUCCCUGCUCAUUACUGGGGAGGUGAACUAGAUGACCUCUAAAAGUCCAUUCCAAACAAAAAUAUUCUAUGGUUCUAUCAUUCUAAGAAGCCCAUGGUCAGUAACAGCAUGUGGACAACUUGGUCACAAACAUUCUUAGAUGUGUUUAUUACUUAAAAUAAACACAUAAAAUUAUUAAAGCUUGAUAAAAUUAUUAAAACAUAAAUACAAGUGUUUGGCCCUCCAUUGUAUAGCUAAUAGGAGUAGUUGUGUUAAAAAUUUUUUAAAUAGAAUAUCCUGAGUUGAACCAACAGUGUAAAAUGUUUUGUACAUCUUUGUGCUUUUCCAUGAGGCCUCCCAUACUCCUGAGUAUGGAGGAUGGAGAUGUGGUUUUGUGCUUUUAUAAAGUCCAGCUACAUUUCCCCAGAGUUUUCUAUGCAGAGAACAAGUAAUUUUCUAUAUUGUCUAUAAUGUGUGUCUCAUGUAUGCAGGCCUGUAGGCAACAGGUACAGAAAGCACUCUUUACAAAAGCCAUAAAAAUUUUCUUCCAGUACUGGGUUAGCUUUCUGCAAUAAUUAAUUGUAUUGGGUCUGGCUGAGAUGGAGUUAAUUUUUCCCCAUAGUAGCCCUCACAGUGCUGUGCUUUGUAGAUGUAGCUAGAAAGAUGUUGAGAACACGCCAGUGUUUUGGCUACUGCUGAGCAGUCCGUGCACAGCAUCAAGGCUGCCUUUCCAUUUCCACCCCCCUCACCAGCAGGCUGGGCGUGGGCAAGAUCUGGGGAGGAGACAGAGCCAUGACAGCUGACCCAAACUGACCAAAGGGAUAUUCAAUACCACCUGAGAUCUUCUCAGCCAUAAAAGCUUAGAGAAAGGAGGAGGAAGGUGUGGGGCAUUUGUUAUUUAUAAAAUUUCUCUUCCAGAGGAACUGCUAUGUCUACUGAAGCCCUGCUUCCUGGGAGGUGGCUGGACAUCACCUGCUGAUGGGAAGCAGAAAAUAAAAUCUUUGUUUUCCUUUUG